AAUGAGAAAGGCAGGAGGCCGCAGAGGGGGCGUUUCAACUGGUGCUGAACAGACUGUACAAAGGAACUGGCUGGGAUUUGAGACAUGUUUGUGGGAUAGCGCAAGUGAGACAGUCAACUAUGAUUACUUCAUCAACGUUGGCCUGGCUGCUACCUACGUGACUAUCUGCUUGAGUGCGCUGGUAGCGAGCCAACUCCAAAUGUAGGUCUUGAAAGUCCAAAGAAAAGCGCUUUAUAUGUAUGGGUUCCAUGAGGGCUUCAGAAAACAAUUAAGCCAUUUCUUUUCUCUUUUUUUAAUAACAAAAGGCCAGCCACUGCGAUGUGGGAUGGACUCAGUAAUUAAAACACCAUCCAAGAAGAUAAAUGUGGGCCUUUUUCUCAAUUUAAAAUAAUUUUGAAACCUGUGGUAUGAUAGCAACUGUUUGUUGAACCUUAGAUGAAGUAUUAGUUAUGGGUGUGUGUGAAAAAUUAAACCAUUAAACAUAUAACACUGA